rnacentral:lncRNA from 10 species
UCAAUACUUUUAAAUUUGCUGAGACUUGUUUUAUGGCCUAGCAUAAGUGUUAUUCAGGAUGAAGUUAUACAAGGGCUUGAGAAUCUUGCAUUCCUCAAGAUGACAUCCAUUGCAACAGGUCAGAAUUCUUUAUGAGUGCUGCAUUAUGGCCCACUUCACGCUUAAGAACAAACAUGAGGAUUUCAGAGCUGAAUCAACGUUAGACUCUUAAAAAACAAUUGUAUCAUAUUCAGUGAACACUGAUGAAAGCCUCAGAAGAAUGGAACCACCUGCAGCUUUAUCUACCCUACCCCAACAUUUUGUUUCUUUCUUGGUUCUCCUACUGCCCACCCUUUCCCCUUGAAAUACUGGAGUCCCCAAGCCCCCUUUGAAAUAAAAAGCACAAAUCACAGAUGUCCCUGUGGGUUUUGUGUUUCUUUUCCCUGAGCCCAUCCUCAACCUUGGCAAAAUAAACCUUGA